GGGGAUGUGGCCCAGUGGUAGAGCACCUGCUUGGGAUGCAGAAUGCCCCAGGUUCAAUCCUUGGCAUCUUCA